rnacentral:rRNA from 1 species
CCUGUAAGUGAAACGAGAAGACCACGAGUUAUGAUCCAGAGUACCACGAGACACGUGAAACCUUGUGGGAAGCAGGGAGGACCACCUCCCAAGGCUAAAUACUACCUGAUGACCGAUAGUGAAGCAGUACCGUGAGGGAAAGGUGAAAAGAACCCCGGGAGGGGAGUGAAAUAGAACCUGAAACCGUGUGCCUACAACCGCUCAGAGCCCCUUAUGAGGGUGAUGAGGUGCUUUUUGUAGAACGAGCCAACGAGUUACGGUAUGUAGCAAGGUUAAGUACUUAAGGUACGGAGCCGAAGGGAAACCGAGUCUGAAUAGGGCGACUAGUUGCAUGCCGUAGACCCGAAACCGGGUGACCUAUCCAUGGCCAGGUUGAAGCGAGGGUAAAACCUCGUGGAGGACCGAACCACGUUGCUGUUGAAAAAGCAUGGGAUGAGCUGUGGAUAGCGGAGAAAUUCCAAUCGAACCCGGAGAUAGCUGGUUCUCUCCGAAAUAGCUUUAGGGCUAGCGUCGAGUAUGAGUAGUGGAGGUAGAGCACUGAAUGGGCUAGGGGGCAUAGCGCUUACCGAACCUUAUCAAACUCCGAAUGCCACAUACUUUGAGCUCGGCAGUCAGACUACGAAUGAUAAGAUCCGUGGUCAAAAGGGAAACAGCCCAGAUCGUCAGCUAAGGUCCCAAAGUGUAAGUUAAGUGGGAAAGGAUGUGAGAUUUCUAAGACAACUAGGAUGUUGGCUUAGAAGCAGCCAUUCAUUAAAAGAGUGCGUAAUAGCUCACUAGUCGAGAGAUCUUGCGCCGAAAAUGUAACGGGGCUAAACUUACC